UCUGGUUGAUCCUGCCAGUAGUCAUAUGCUUGUCUCAAAGAUUAAGCCAUGCAUGUCUAAGAAUAAAUAGUAUACAGUGAAACUGCGAAUGGCUCAUUAAAACAGUUAUAGUUUAUUUGAUAACUGACAAUUACAUGGAUAACCGUGGUAAUUCUAGAGCUAAUACAUGCUUAAACGCCCGACUUUAUGGAAGGGUGGUAUUUAUUAGACUGAAGCCAAUAUUCCUUGUGUCUAUUGCGGUGAUUCAUAAUAACUGAUCGAAUCUCUUUUUGAGAUAAAUCAUUCAAGUUUCUGCCCUAUCAGCUUUCGAUGGUAGUGUAUUGGACUACCAUGGCAGUAACGGGUAACGAAGAAUUAGGGUUCGAUUUCGGAGAGGGAGCAUGAGAAACGGCUACCACAUCUAAGGAAGGCAGCAGGCGCGUAAAUUACCCAAUCCUGACUCAGGGAGGUAGUGACAAGAAAUAGCAAACCGGGAACCUCAUGGUUUCACGGUAUUGCAAUGAGAACAAUUUAAAACCCUUAGCGAGAAUCAAGUGUAGGACAAGUCUGGUGCCAGCACCCGCGGUAAUUCCAGCUCCACUAGCGUAUAUUAAAGUUGUUGCAGUUAAAAAGCUCGUAGUUGAACCUCUGUCUGGGGCUAGUUUUGGCUUUGGUCAGGCUAGUUCUAGGCAUCCGCCUACAAGACUUAGAGGGCAUUCAGUUGUUCACUAGGAGGAGUAGGCAUUUUACUUUGAAAAAAUUAGAGUGUUUAAGGCAGGCAAUCGCCCGCAUAUAUUAGCAUGGAAUAAUAGAAUAGGACACUUUUCCAUUUCGUCGGUUAUUGGAAUCGUGUAAUGAUUAAUAGGGACAGUUGUGGGCAUUUGUAUUUAAUUGUCAGAGGUGAAAUUCUUGGAUUUAUUAAAGACAAACUAACGCGAAAGCAUUUGCCAAGGAUGUUUUCAUUAAUCAAGAACGAAAGUUAGGGGAUCAAAGACGAUCAGAUACCGUCCUAGUCUUAACUAUAAACUAUUCCGACUCAAUGUUUGACUGGCUUAUAUAACCAGUUGAGCGUUGUAUGAGAAAUCAAAGUCUUUAGGUUCUGGGGGGAGUAUGGUUGCAAAGCUGAAACUUAAAGGAAUUGACGGAAGAGCACAACCAGGAGUGGAUUCUGCGGCUUAAUUUGACUCAACACGGGGAAACUUACCAGGUUAAAACAAUAGUGGGAUUGACAGUUUGAGAGCGCUUUCUUGAUUGGUUGGGUGGUGGUGCAUGGCCGUUCUUAGUUGGUGGAGUGAUUUGUCUGCUUAAUUGCGUUAACGAACGAGACCUUAACCUGCUUACUAGACUGGCGAUCAUCAACU
rnacentral:rRNA from 1 species